GUCUAGCUGAGAGGAGACAAAUCCAUCGUUCUGCCUUCCUUAAAAGAGAAACCAGCAGCUGGUCGUGGCCCGGGUCCUUCCUUCACUCACUCAGCACAGCAUAGAACACAACGCAGAACACACGAGAGUUAAUGGACGUGCAUCCAGCCUGAUUUUAAACUGUUAAGGACAAUGCACGCCCGUUACAGUAGCAUGCACAAUAAAUGACAAGAAGAAAAAAGUGUCACUGCAUACCCCUCUAACACUGGGUAGUUGCGCCACUGUGGAUGAGUAACAGAGGGAGGGGAUCCUGAGCAAAAAAUAGGCCUACAACUCUAUUAUCGGGGCUGCCAAGUCUCAAUUGACACUAGGGCUGGGCAAUAUAUUGAUAUUUUAUCAACAUCGAUAUAUGAGGCUAGAUGUCGUCUUAAGUUCUGGAUAUCGUAACAUCAUUAUGGUAACCAGCCCGGUUAUGCGGUCACUGUCAAAUUGUGAUGGAAUUGACAAAAGACAGGAAUGUCUCCAUCUGCCUGGAGCCAGUGGUGGAAUGUAACUAAGUACAUU